CUCCGAUGGUGUGGAUCAAGUCUUUCUGCAGGAAACACAUACAGCAGAGUAUUUUCUGCAUUUGGAUUUUCUGCCUGCUGCCGACCAACCAAACCAACAGUUGCAUGGUUUCACUACAGAACUUUAGGCUGAGUCCUGAUCAAGACUCCCAGCUCAGCGUUUGAUCUUUAACCCCAGACACUGUGAGGAGGGCAGACUGACAAACAACAGGAUCC